AGGCUUAUGGUGCAGCAUUCUGCAAAACAUUUGUGUUUUAUUUGUGCAAAAACUAUAUUUGGGCAUGCAAGUCAAAACACUAUCAAAUGCAUUAAAAUUGUAUUUAAAGGAAUACUUCACUUACAUACAGUGGCUAUGUCUCCCUAAACUUACCUUACUCCAAUUAUUUCCUUUAUCAAAAUCCAUUCUUCAUUUCUGAUUAAAAUCAUAAAACAAAGUAGGACUUACUUUAUUUUAAGCAUUUAUGCUACACCUGACAAUUUUUGACAAAGUGUGGAGCUUAACUAAGCUCAACUUCUUUCGACAAGUAAAUGUUUCCCAGAAUACUCGCCUUUCUAUCCAGUCCUUCCUUCGUAGCCUCGCAAUACCAUCUGUCAUCCUUUCUAAGAGCCUCCUGUGGGCAAACAUGGAGAAGAAAAGAGGACUAGGGUAUUUCGACAGUUCCAAAAAGAUGGUGGCACAUAGGUAAGAAAUCCGGCACCUUGACAAAACUAAUAAAAGGAUAGUUAUGGGAGGGGGCAAAAAAAAAACGAAUCGACUGCUGCCGUUACAGAACCGUUUUAAGUGCUUUAUGCUUCCGGAAUCUGCCAACCAGGGAUAUUUUCUUACACUUGCAAGCUAAGCAAGAGCAUGUACUACAGCUCAUUGAGAAGCAUUGGAAAGUCCAGGUCCUGUGUGCAUUCCCGGCUCCAGCACAGAGACUUCUCAAUGAGAAAAUCUGUGCCAGGGAAAGAGCAAUGGCUGCAGCCAGGGGGUAAAUAGGUUUUUUUUUUUUUUAAAGAAAGAUUGCAAUUUAGUUUCCUUUUAAUCAUGUUGCU